ensembl:lncRNA
AAAAAUGUAUUCUUAAAGUGUUAUCAGAUAGAACACUAAUUUUCUCUGUCAAAAAAAAUACAGGACUACGGACAACGUAAACACAGAAAGAGCAAUAUAAUUACAACUACAUCAGAUACCAUUCCUCUGCUGUGGCAGCUAAACUGUGUUCUCUUUCUGUUAAAGGUGCUUAGGCUUAGAAAGAUUGCAGUUCCUACCUACUUAGAGAGCUUCUGCAAAUUGCAAUUGACAUUAUUGUUGGGGAUGCAAGUUAAAACCUCAGAGAUUUUUAGGGCUGUACUUCAGAAUCCCACGUUUGGAAGGAAAUAGUCUUCAGGAAAAAGGGCUUAUGCACUGAAACAAUGUAUCUUUGAUAAACAUUGUAACACAGUGGAAUGCCCAGCAGUGCCAGCUGAUCAGCAAGGUCCUGGGCUGCAGCACGUGCAACUGCAGCACGUGCAACUGCAGCACGUGCAACUGCAGCACGUGCAACUGCAGCACGUGCAACUGCAGCACGUGCAACUGCAGCACGUGCAACUGCAGCACGUGCAACUGCAGCACGUGCAACUGCAGCACGUGCAACUGCAGCACGUGCAACUGCAGCACGUGCAACUGCAGCACGUGCAACUGCAGCACCACGUGCAACUGCCAUGGACACAGAAACAAAGGAAAGAAGCUGUUCACCUUCAGAAGGCCUCAAGUACACAGCGACCUCCAACAAGAUACCCUUGCCCCCACUGCCAACCCAUAAAUGAGGUCUGGGAAGGGGGUGGAGCCAGGAUCCACCCCUUCUGGACAGUCGGGUACAUUACGUGCACCUGAGCUCCCCUGGGUUGGCCCUGCCUUCCCACCAGGUGCUCAAUCACUAAUUCAGGUCACAACUUGCAUUUCCACUACAUCAAUAUAUCUUUGAAAAAAAAAUCAUAAAUUUAAAAGCUUUUAGACUGGGUAUGCAAAUAAAGAACAAACAGAUGAAUUAGUAGAGCUGUACAAAAGUUACCUGAUGCAGAAACAAUUGCCCAAGUAAACAAACCACUGAAAUCAAAGAGAUUUUUUGAGGAAGAUAGCAGAGUUCAUAUUGACAAGGGCCUAGUGAUUCUUGGGGCUGAUAAGUGCCAUUUGGCCAAGGUUAGCAUGCCACCAUCACAGACAGUUUAAUGAGACCCACAUGCAGCAGAACUGAACUGAAUUAAUUAAAAAAACAUCUUAAGUGCAGCACACCUGUAUUUUUCUUCCACAUACAACACCAGGACAGGAAUGUUACCUAUAUUGCUAGUUUAGACAAUAUUGUGAACAUAAAAAUAUAGAAGAUGUGCAAACAAACAAGUGUUAUUAAAGAAUAAAUCAGUAAAAAAUAAAGUAAUCCUCUUGCUGAUGUUUAGUUUUGUAAUUGAACUCUGAGGCAAACACUGCCAUUUUUGUCCCAACAUGCUGCCUGUUCUGUUGAAGUUAAAAGCUACCCACCUCACUUGGAAUUUACUUACUUCAAAAUCAAUUCUCCC